AGAGAAAUGCGUUAAUCGCAGUAACCUUUCGUUGAUGAUAGUUACAGAUUCAAAAAAUCUCGCUCAUUAAAUAAUUGCUUUCCGCAACUGUACCAACAGACGCAACAGUCUUCUAGCAAACAACAAACUCGCAUUCAAUCAAACGCGUUGUUUGUAAUGCAAAUAAAGGUUACUCCGUACCGUCGUUGGUAAUUGCCUUCCGGCUGAACACUUGUUGCAAGUCAAUUGAAUCGUUUACAUUGUUUUUGCCGGCAAUCAGCAAACCGUUCCGUAACCCAAUAACGUUUCCCAAGUCCCGAAAAAAGAAAGAAAAGAAGCAAAGCAAGUUCAAUUAAAUGCAAAUUGACAAAUUCUCGCGGUCAUUGUGUCUAUCCGUAACCGAACGCCAGCGUGACGAUCGCAGCUACGGUUUCGCUGAGCGUGUCCGCGAUUCUCGAUUCAAUUAAACGCGCCCGUAAAUUGAUCGCCAAUGGAGUAAGUGAUCGCAAAAUUGAUAAGUUUAUUUCAGAAUUACAGUGGAGGCACCAUAUUCGAAGCCAUAUUGCCUUCGUGAUAUGGUUUACGAAAGUAGUAUAUAGAUUCGCAUAGAGUAGUAGGAAUGGCAACGGAAACCGGUUCGAUGUCACGUAUGUCUUUGGGAGCGGGGAUCCUUAUAGUGGUCGGCUUGAAUGAGAUCAUUCAAACAAUCGUAAUCAGUCAGCUGAAGCCCCGUUGUCGCAAGUCAUCCGUCCGUCUUUCCGCAGACAAUCAUUCUCGUGUUUCGUUCUCAGGAGCCGGACGGAUCGAUUCUCUCUGGAAUUAGGCCACAACGAUGGCAAAUUAGUCUCAUACGUUAUUUUAACAUCACUUCGUAUCAAUCAUUCAACCGCCGCUGUAGUUGUCUGCGUUCGAUUACUGAUAAGAACUAACCGAAAGCAAUGCUUCCACAUUUGAUGCUUCUGCCGCCGUUUGCCGGCGUUCAGUGCCUGCGUAUAAAGAAGCUGUAUGAAUUAUUGUAAUAAUUGUUACAUUUGCUUGUUAUGCUAUUGCGAUGGAGUAACAACGUUUUCGUAAUCGAAGAAGGUUUUUCGAAUGGCAAUAUUUGAAGUGAUGAAAGUCGUUGUAAAAUUUGAUUUUUGUAGGGUCUCGUCGCGUCUUUUUGUGUAGCCACAAGGGACGCUGCAAUUUUUUUUUUGUUCUUGAAAAAUGUUCAACCUUCAUGUCCGACCAAGAAACGAUUUAGAGUGCGAGUUUCAAAAUUAGUGAGCUGUGCUUUGUAAUACCAGAGCUCAGCCGGAAUCGUAUUCUGGAACUGAAAGUAUUUACGGCCUUUUCCACUGACUGCUGCAUAUUCAAGGUACCACUGUUGAUCAUCGUUAUCAUCCCAUCGAUGGAAAUAGUUUUCAACGUCAUUUUUGUUGUUCCAAAACUGGUUUUACUAACUGGUUCGCAAUAUCGUUUCCAUAAUUUUCAGCAUGUCCGGGAAUCCACUGCAGCCUUUGUAAGUAAUGUCUCGACGGUCUCAUCCCGAAAACGAUUCUCAUUCCAAACCUGAUUUCCAAUCAGUCAUGAUAACUGUAUUUGAAAGUCCAGAGCGUUGAAGAGUAACUGUUAAGUGAAAAAUCUUGAAUACCUGUAUUUUAGAUUCAGGCUGUCGUACAGGUCGAUGUCCUAUCCCUCAAUCGCAAUUUUGACAGUUCCCUAACUUCACGGCGAAUGAGAACGACUCAAAUUUGAGUUUAGUUCACUCAUAAUCGCCAAAAGUGCAGGAACUCAGCGAUGAGUAAAGGAACUCCGGAACGGAAAGCUAUAUCAAGCUUCGGAAAGUCCAAGGGGAAAACGAGUUCAUCGGUACCAAGAUGCCAUUGUAGACUGAGGACACGAACAUCCGCACUCGGUUCAGCUC